AACGAACGCUGGCGGCAGGCCUAACACAUGCAAGUCGAACGCCCUAGCAAUAGGGAGUGGCAGACGGGUGAGUAACACGUGGGAACGUGCCUUUCGGUUCGGAAUAACCCAGGGAAACUUAGGACUAAUACCGGAUACGUGCGAGAGCAGAAAGAUUUAUCGCCGAAAGAUCGGCCCGCGUCCGAUUAGCUAGUUGGUGAGGUAACGGCUCACCAAGGCGACGAUCGGUAGCUGGCUGAGAGAUGAUCAGCCACACUGGGACU
rnacentral:rRNA from 1 species